CACACACCUGAUGAACUGGCGGGGAGCGUCACGCAGGGACCACAGCACGUAGAAGUUCAUCUUCCCCAUGUUGUAGUUGUUGGUGUUGUUGUUGUUGU